GUCAGGAAGCUGGGUGGAUGCAGAACUCAUAUGAAGAGGGACUUGUCAGGAUCAGGCUGUGGUGAACACGGCACCAGGCGGUUUGUAGCUUUGGACCCAAAUGAGAUACUACAGAUGGGACACACGCGUGGGCUGAGCUCCAUCAAAUUCAAAUCGACUGUUCGUGUGGCAUCAGCACACCUGCCCAGGCUGCCGGCAUCGAUCACAGAAUGAUGCACAGCGUUUUCUCUGACCUGGUUUUUCAAUCAAGCCAUAUGGACUUCCACAUGUGUCUAACAAGAAUGGAAAGAGUAUGCUAAUAACAAUUAUAAAGUACCUAAAAAUAAUUUUUCAUUGACAUCUGUUUUGGGUUUUGGAGUAAAGUUCAUUACAUCAUCUUCUGGGGAGGAAA